GAUGAACGCUGGCGGCGUGCCUAAUACAUGCAAGUCGAGCGAACAGACGAGAGUGCUUGCACUCUCUGACGUUAGCGGCGGACGGGUGAGUAACACGUGGGUAACCUACCUAUAAGACUGGGAUAACUUCGGGAAACCGGAGCUAAUACCGGAUAAUAUUUAGCUUCGCAUGAAGCAAUAGUGAAAGACGGUUCUGCUGUCACUUAUAGAUGGACCCGCGGUGUAUUAGCUGGUUGGUGAGGUAACGGCUCACCAAGGCAACGAUACAUAGCCGACCUGAGAGGGUGAUCGGCCACACUGGGACUGAGACACGGCCCAGACUCCUACGGGAGGCAGCAGUAGGGAAUCUUCCGCAAUGGACGAAAGUCUGACGGAGCAAUGCCGCGUGAGUGAAGAAGGUUUUCGGAUCGUAAAACUCUGUUGUAAGGGAAGAACAAGUACGUUAGUAACUGAACGUACCUUGACGGUACCUUACCAGAAAGCCACGGCUAACUACGUG
rnacentral:rRNA from 1 species